AAUACGGAUUUUUAGUUGAAAAUUUUAGGCUGUGUAAGAUUUAAUGAUAAGUGUAGUUAAAACGUGGUUAAUUUUUAAUUUUCGUUGAUUUUUUAAGGAGUGGAUAGUUAUUUUGGGACGGGUGAAGUAAAUUACGGACUUUUUUGUAGUUUAAUGCUACGGGUUGUUAAGGGUAAAUAGGAAUAUUAGUAAAAUCGUAAACGUAGGUUUUUUUAAGGAAAAAGUUCAACUUAGGUACUUUAUAAUGUAAUGAUAAUGGUCAUGGUCAGUUAUUUUGAGACAUGUGAUUUAUAAGUUGUGGACUUUAUUAAUUUAAUGGUAAGGGUAGUACUUAAAAGGAAAUUAAUAAUAUAGUUUUUAUUGAAAUUUAUAUAUAGCGUGGGAUUGAGAUUGUAUGAUUUAUUAGUAUAGUUUAAUGUCUUUGAGUAUUUAUCUGGUUCUUAAAAUUUGAGAUCACAAUUGGAUGUGAUGUUAUGAAGCAUUAAUUGUGGCCUCUUCUCGGUUCCUUCUACUCCUUCUUCCAUAAUGUGAGCUCGGAGAAGGAAGAAAUAGGAGGGUCCUAUGGAGAAUGUGGUCAGAAAUCCAUAAUAGAAUCCGACGAGUAUUUAUCUGGUUCUUAAAAUUUGAGAUCACAAUUGGAUGUGAUGUUAUGAAGCAUUAAUUGUGGCAAGUUGAGUGUUAACAUAUAAUAACGGUUCUAAUUGCAGGAGCUUGUUUGAUUAUAUAAUUUUGGAUAAAGAUGUCUGGUGGAGAGGUUAAAAAGGUUUCACCUCAAGAUAUACAAUUGGUACAACAUCUUAUAGAAGAGUGUCUUCAGCUUUACAUGACCCAAAAGGAAGUUGUUAGUAAACUACAAUAUGAAGCAAAAAUUGAACCCAGUUUUACUGAACUCGUGUGACGGAAGCUUGAAGAAGAAAAUCAAGAUUUUUUCAAGGCUUAUCACCUAAGAUUGAUUUCGAAGGACCAAGAACACAAAGAACAAAAUAUAUUAGUAAACGUCGAAGUUGAGUCACGACAACACUCCAAUGGGGAAUAAGAGGAAGUCCAUGGAAGGAGAUCAUACAAUACAAAACAAAGCACAAGUUCAAAGCACAAUUGCCAUUUAGUCUUUUGUUUCUUUCUUUUUUUCUUCUACUUCCAAUUUUGAUGUUCAAAUUACUUCUUCUUUGACCAAACUUUUUUAUUUUUACUUUUUUCUAAUUAUAACACUUUAAUUGGAAUACAAAUAUGUAAUGGAUA